rnacentral:rRNA from 1 species
GGACGGGUGAGUAACACGUGGGCAACCUGCCUAUGAGACUGGGAUAACUCCGGGAAACCGGGGCUAAUACCGGAUAAUUCUUUUCUACACAUGUAGAAAAGCUGAAAGAUGGUUUCGGCUAUCACUCAUAGAUGGGCCCGCGGCGCAUUAGCUAGUUGGUGAGGUAACGGCUCACCAAGGCGACGAUGCGUAGCCGACCUGAGAGGGUGAUCGGCCACACUGGGACUGAGACACGGCCCAGACUCCUACGGGAGGCAGCAGUAGGGAAUCUUCCGCAAUGGACGAAAGUCUGACGGAGCAACGCCGCGUGAGUGAUGAAGGUUUUCGGAUCGUAAAACUCUGUUGUUAGGGAAGAACAAAUACCGGAGUAACUGCGGGUACCUUGACGCCACCUAGGGAGAAACCCUCGGCUAAAUACGUGCCAGCAGCCCCGGUAAUACGUAGGUGGCAACCGUUGUCCGGAAUUAU